UAACAGGGGGGUGCAAACGUUGCUCGGAAUCAUUGGGCGUAAAGCGCACGUAGGCGGUUCGUUAUGUCGGAUGUGAAAGCCCUUGGCUUAACCGAGGAAGUGCAUCCGAAACUGGCGAGCUAGAGUACUAAAGAGGAUCGCGGAAAUUCCCGGUGUAGAGGUGAAAUUCGUAGAUAUCGGGAGGAACACCGGUGGCGAAGGCGGCGAUCUGGGUAGAUACUGACGCUGAGGUGCGAAAGCGUGGGGGAGCAAACAGGG
rnacentral:rRNA from 1 species